UGCCUGCAGCACUGUGACCCAGUCUGUCAAUAUGGAUGAACUGACCCUGUUUUACUCUCUGAUUCUGCCACUGUGUUUGGGCUCUGAAGUGACCAUAGUGAAAACCAUCAGGAGAGGAACAGAUGUCACUAGAAUAUGUGUUAAUACUACACAGAGUCCCAUCACCCUCAUAGUGUGUAAGAUCAGAACGGAAAUGAGCGGAGAAGAGUGUCGUCUGCUGUUCCUUUACAGACGAGGCUUCGUGCAUAAAUGUGACUCCAGGUUCUCUCUAAAGAUGGAGUAUCAGACCGUUUCUCUCCACCUGAUGAAUUUAACACCAGUGGAUAGUGGGAACCACACCUGUGAAUGUUCUCACACUGAGGGAACAUAUGUCCUGCAUCUAUACAUCACUGUGGAAGAUUUAGAGGAUAAAGACGGCAGCAUUUUAAUUCAAAUACCGAUUCCAGGUAUGAUUGGUGUAACUGUAUUCAUCAUAACUGCAGUCAUCAUAUUGUGUAUCUGCAGGAGAAAACAUCACAGUGUCUGUUCAGUGUCAGCCACACCUGGAUCAUCUGCAUGUGAGAAUCCCGGCAAUUUGGAUGAAGAUGACCCUGAUGACUCCUACACAGCCCUCCAGCAGCCAGACAGUGAUCUCUACCAGAGUGUCUCUAACUCAGCCAAUGAUAGAGAGACGGUCGGUUUGGAUUACCAGAAUAUACGCGAACGAGAGACUGAUGCCAGCGACAAACUCUAGGGAAACACUUAACCCAAAAACAGCACUGUAUAAUAUGUUGGCAACUUUUAGAGAUGAUUCUACAAUAAUACUCCUUUUUAUUAUUAUCAAAUCAUCAUUUAUUAUUAGAACAUGUCAGCUUUAAUGGUGGAUCUUUGAACAAGACAAAGAGAAAAAUGAGCCAUCUUGUGUGUAAAGAUGUGCCUCAAAUCGUGAUUUACUUAGACUCAAAAAAAGUGAUUAAAAUAAUCCUUAAAAAGGGUUUAUAUUUGACAAAAAAUGUGUGUAUUUUUGCCAUGUUGUUGGCUAUAAGUGUUCAAUUGUAAUAUACAUUCCAACUGCAUGAUUGCUAACUGAAUAAUUAAAACCCCUAAAAGUCCCUCGUGAACAAAGUGAAUUGACUUAAAUGAAGUGAGGUUUUUUUCAUUGUAUGUAAAAAAGCAGUAUGUAGACGACACCUGGUUUACUUGUUAAAGACGCGGGGAACCAGAAUUGCUUCGAGCUGCAGCUUUCUAUACACAGCUCGAGCUCAGGCUUCUAAAUAUGUGAUGACCACAGAGCAGUCAUCUUAUUUCUGGCUAGUUUUGUGACAUACAAUUCAAACAAACGGCAAAACCAAUGCAGGUAACACUUUACAUUUGUAGGAUUCAGUGACUGUAGACCUGCUGCUCUGCAUCAACACAAGCAGAAGCUCCUGUUACUUUCUUUAUUGACAUUUCUCCCCACAUAUGUGAGAGUGUAAUGUUUAGGUGUACAGAGAAGUGUGUCUUCUCUUCAGAACAGUAUACACUCACUUAUUGACCGGUAUGGAAUCAAGAUGGCGACUGUUCUUCGUUCUGCUUCUGCCUCUAACCAAGUGCGAAGUGACCAUAGUGAAAACUAUCGGGAGAGGACCAGAUGUCACUGAAAUAUGUGUUAAUACUACACAGAGUCCCAUCAUACUCAUAUUGUGUAAGAUCAGAACAGAAAGGAGCGGAGAAGAAUGUUAUCUGUUCUAUGAACCGUCAAAGGACUUUGUGCAACAAAAUUACUCCAGGUUCUCUCUAAAGAUGGAGAAUCAGACCGUUUCUCUCCACCUGAUCAAUUUAACAGCAGUGGAUAGUGGGAACUACAGCUGUGAAUGUUCACACACUGCGGGAACAGAGAUCCUCCAUCUACAGAUCACUGUGGAAGAUUUAGAGGAUAAAGGCGGCAGCAUUUUAAUUCAAAUACCGAUUCCAGGUAUGAUUGGUGUAACUGUAUUCAUCAUAACUGCAGUCAUCAUAUUGUGUAUCUGCAGGAGAAAACAUCACAGUGUCUGUUCAGUGUCAGCCAAACUUGGAUCAUCUGCAUGUGAGAAUCCUGGCACUUUGGAUGAAGAUGACCCUGGUGACUCCUACACAGCCCUCCAACAGCCAGACAGUGAUCUCUACCAGAGUGUCUCUAACUCAGCCAACCACAGAGAAGACAGGUGGUUUGGAAAACCAGAAAAUACACAACAGAGAGACCGAUGCAGGCGACAAACUCUAUGAAAGCAAAAGUCCCCCAAAACAGCACUGUAUAAAAUGUAAUAAAAUCCCAAAGCAUUAUGCCAACAAAAUGAGCAUAUAGCUUGUUUUUAAAUCCUUGUUAUUGUUGUUUUUAUGUAAUGUUUCUUGUUCUUAGAGUUUUAGUUGAUGAACUAAUUGACAAAAUGAGUAUAUUUGUGCCAUGUUUUCAGCUAUUAGUGUUUACUUAUUGGAAUUUGAAAAUAUCCAACUGCAUGAUUAUGAACUGAAGAA